GAUGAACGCUGGCGGCGUGCCUAAUACAUGCAAGUCGAGCGAACGGACGAGAAGCUUGCUUCUCUGAUGUUAGCGGCGGACGGGUGAGUAACACGUGGAUAACCUACCUAUAAGACUGGGAUAACUUCGGGAAACCGGAUCUAAUACCGGAUAAUAUUUUGAACCGCAUGGUUCAAAAGUGAAAGACGGUCUUGCUGUCACUUAUAGAUGGAUCCGCGCUGCAUUAGCUAGUUGGUAAGGUAACGGCUUACCAAGGCAACGAUGCAUAGCCGACCUGAGAGGGUGAUCGGCCACACUGGAACUGAGACACGGUCCAGACUCCUACGGGAGGCAGCAGUAGGGAAUCUUCCGCAAUGGGCGAAAGCCUGACGGAGCAACGCCGCGUGAGUGAUGAAGGUCUUCGGAUCGUAAAACUCUGUUAGUAGGGAAGAAGAUAUGUGUAAGUAACUGUGCACAUCUUGACGGUACCUAAUCAGAAAGCCACGGCUAACUACGUG
rnacentral:rRNA from 1 species